rnacentral:tRNA from 1 species
GCCCCCGUAGCUCAGUUGGAUACGAGCAGGGCUUUCCUAAAGCCAAGGUCGCCCGUUCGAGUCGGGCCGGGGGCA